GACGAACGCUGGCGGCGUGCCUAAUACAUGCAAGUCGAACGCUGAAGGAGGAGCUUGCUCUUCUGGAUGAGUUGCGAACGGGUGAGUAACGCGUAGGUAACCUGCCUGGUAGCGGGGGAUAACUAUUGGAAACGAUAGCUAAUACCGCAUAACAGUAGAUGUUGCAUGACAUUUACUUAAAAGGUGCAAUUGCAUCACUACCAGAUGGACCUGCGUUGUAUUAGCUAGUUGGUGGGGUAACGGCUCACCAAGGCGACGAUACAUAGCCGACCUGAGAGGGUGAUCGGCCACACUGGGACUGAGACACGGCCCAGACUCCUACGGGAGGCAGCAGUAGGGAAUCUUCGGCAAUGGACGGAAGUCUGACCGAGCAACGCCGCGGGAGUGAAGAAGGGUGUCGGAUCGUAAAGCUCUGUUGUAAGAGAAGAACGAGUGUGAGAGUGGAAAGUUCACACUGUGACGGUAGCUUACCAGAAAGGGACGGCUAACUACGUG
rnacentral:rRNA from 1 species